AAUCAACGCUGGCGGCGUGCCUCAGACAUGCAAGUCGAACGCGAAAGUUCCCUUCGGGGGGCGAGUAGAGUGGCGCACGGGUGAGUAACACGUAGGUAAUCUACCUUUGGGUGGGGAAUAACAGCCGGAAACGGCUGCUAAUACCGCAUAAUGCAGCGGCUCGACAUCGAGACAGUUGUUAAAGCGGGGGAUCGCAAGACCUCGCGCCUAAAGAGGAGCCUGCGGCGGAUUAGCUUGUUGGUGAGGUAAUGGCUCACCAAGGCAUCGAUCCGUAGCCGGCCUGAGAGGGCGGGUCGGCCACACUGACACUGACAUACGGGUCAGACUCCUA
rnacentral:rRNA from 1 species